ACUCACUCACUCGCACACAAGCACUCCAUGACUUCUGAGGUCCACUGUAUUAGGGAUUAAGGGAGUUGGUGGCUAUUUGGCGAAGACAAACAGCGCACUCAGAAUAAUAAGCCUCUAGCCCCACACCUCUCUGUUCCUCAUGGGGCAGUGGGGAAGAACUCCUCAUCCUCUUCUCUCCUUUCCUUCUCUCCUUUCCUUGCCCCAAGGCACAGACUAAAACUAAAACAGUAAACACUUACCACUCUACACCGCUGGAGGAAAGUAAACAGCUUGGUUUUCCCUGCUGUUCAGAGAUGUUGGUGCUCUGUAUAAGCCUCCCAUAGAGAAGCGUCCUGCUGAUCUACACUGGAGGACAAUUCAAGGGGCUAUCGCUACCAAACAGAUACAGUUGAAGACGGAAGUUUACAUACACUUAGGUUGGAGUCAUUAAAACUCGUUUUUCAACCACUCCACACAUUUCUUGUUAACAAACUAUAGUUUUGGCAAGUCGGUUAGGACAUCUACUUUGUGCAUGACACAAGUAAUUUUUCCAACAAUUGUUUAUAGACAGAUUAUUUCACGUAUAAUUCAAUGCAUCACAAUUCCAGUGGGUCAGAAGUUUACAUACACUAAGUUGACUGUGCCUUUAAACAGCUUGGAAAAUUCCAGAAAAUGAUGUCAUGGCUUUAGAAGCUUCUGAUAGGCUAAUUGACAUCAUUUGAGUCAAUUGGAGGUGUACCUGUGGAUAUAUUUCAAGGCCUACCUUCAAACUCAGUGCCUGUUUGCUUGAUGUCAUGGGAAAAUCAAAAGAAAUCAGCCAAGACCUCAGAAAAGAAUUGUAGACCUCCACAAGUCUGGUUCAUCCAUUCCAGAUGCCUGAAGGUACCACGUUCAUCUGUACAAACAAUAGUACGUAAGUAUAAAC
rnacentral:lncRNA from 1 species